AGGACCAUAUCACGUUGAAACAGUGGUUCUCGUACGAUUACCGAAGUUAAGCAGCGUCGAGCCUGGUCAGUACCUAGUUGGGCGAUCGGUUGCGAAUACCAGAGGCUGUAA